rnacentral:tRNA from 1 species
GAGGGUAUAGCUCAGUGGUAGAGCACAUGCCUAGCACACAUGAGGUCCUGAGUUCAAUCCCAGUGCUUCCA